AAUGCCAUUUCUCAUGUUCGACAUUUUAGUUUCUUCAGAAAAUAUUGAAAUGUGUGAAGAGGGCAUACAAAUUAGGCUUACACUUCAUGUCCUCCUCAGUUUCAUUCACAGGUUACAGCGGACAUAAUUCGACUAAGACCUGUUGUGGUUAUUAAAGUGAAAGUAAGACAAGGGUCGUUUCUUAUCUCGGUGUCUUCCUUACCUUUUGUGAGGGCGUGGAUCCCCAGUUUGACGUGGGAAAAGUUUCCACAGCCGAUCUCUCCACGGACCUUGUAGAAGCUGAUACGCCGGCCCAAGAGAGCGUUGUCAUCCUGCUCCUACCCGUCAUCCUUCCUCUACCUGUCAUCCUGCUCCUACCUGUCGUCCUUCUCCUACCUGUCAUUCUUCUCCUACCUGUCAUCCUGCUCCUACCGGUUGUCCUGGCCCUACCUGUCGUCCUGGCCCUACCUGUCAUCCUUGUCCUACCUGUCGUCCUGGCACAUGUCCAGGUUUAGCCUCUCCAGGGGGGUGAUGCGGUGGCCAGGGACCCCCUGGUCAUUUGUAGUGAUGUCCGAGCUCUCCAUGCGGCUCCAGCGUGCGUAUCUCUUGUCCUGACCCGCUGUGCUCCCAGUCAAAACCCCAGACCCCCUGGAGCACCCCACUGUAGCCCCAGCAGGUCCCACCCCAGUGGGGCACACAGCCGUCAUCCUACCCAGGAUGCCUAGGAUAGGGAAGGCUUAGCUCAUGGCUGGAAGGGGUUCUGGUGCAAGGCACCACCUAUGGAUGAAGACACAGACAAUAACUUGUUGUGCUGAUGAGGGAAAUUCCCAGAGCCCUGUUCAAUUCAUCCUGUCAAACCCAUUAUCUGCGCUACAAAAUGCAAAUGUCUUGUAUUGUAUUCACAAUCGCACCAAAAACAUGUUAAAUGUGGGAAUCUCACCUUUAUACAUAGGGUCCAUGUAGAGAGCUUUGCUGCUUCACCGAGUGUCCAUACAAUGACAGAUAAGAAAUAAUUUAUGAUAAUUUGGUGGGUGCUUAUAUUUGUCCUAUUUCAUGCAUGUGUGAAUUGGAAAUGUGUUUCUUGCAUAUCCCAACUCUCCCGAAGAACCCCUAGGGUGAAUGGGGUCACAGCCAGGGUCCAACCCAAAACAGGCUACUAGUCUCUUUCUCCAGACCUUCAAUGGACUGCAGUAUGAAAAUACUGCCUUAACCAAGGCAGUUGAUGUUGGUUUUUGAUCCGUAGCUCAAGUAUGUUCAAGGAAGGUAUCUCAAGAAUGUUUGUAAGCACAGCUUGUUCCUCAAUAUCAUUCUUUUGGGGUUCGUUACUUGUUCCUUGUCAAUCAUUGGCUCAUUGGUGAAAUUAGCAUUCAGACAAUAUCUUUAAUUAAAUCAUUCAAAAACCUUUAUUUAUGCAAUUGCAGGCAGAAGAUGACAACAGGAACAUAGCACGCAUGUUUCCGAGUAAGUUCUGCAAAAUAGAAAAGGGUCCGAGUUGUUUUAUUAUUCUAACAGUCAUAUAACUUAGUGAUGUCACUGCCUACGUCAUUACCUUCCACUCAUGAGACCAAAAUCAUGCCUACACAGCUAUAUAAACAAGAGUUUUAGUGUUAUCUAAAAGCUCAGCAGUAAAUGUCCAAGUUGAUUUAUAGUGAAUGUCUGACUAGUCUCUUAUCUCUUACACUCCCUGCAGAGUUCUGUCUCACAGUCACACAUUUCUCAGAUAGUUUCUUUAUAAGAGGCAGAGAUUAGAAAAGACUGUGGAACAAUAUUAAACCUUUAUAAUGAAUAUAUAUAUUGUUAAUCUGUAGUCUAGGACCCUAUACAUGUACGGAGGGAGGUGUCUUUUACCCCCUCCCCUUCUAUUAAUACAAGUUAAGCAUAAUCAAUUAUUAUAAUACAUCAAACAUUUGGUACAGCCCCUAUCAUGACCUCAAGGUGAACCCCUGACAGUUCCUUGAAACAGAGGAUGGCUUAAUAAAGACUGUUAGUUGUUCGAGAGCGAGCAACAGUUUCUCAGUCCACUGGCCCUCACAUCAGUGCUGCUGCAUUUUA